rnacentral:lncRNA from 1 species
CACAGGCAUUGCGGUCAUUGGGGCACAGCACAGCAGCACAACUCUGCACUCUGGAAUCAGCAAGAGGUUCUUGCCAAGUUCAAGCCCAGUUGGAAUUCUUUAUACUGCUGACUCUCCAGGACUGGCUAGAGCCCUGAGGUAUGAUCCUAUCACUUGCUUCUGGACAGUAGAGGCAAGUGACAGCUCCAGAACAGCCACAGGAUUGUGAAGCACAUGACCCAUACUGUAUAGAGUGCCGGUGCGCAGCGGAGAUGCCACCUUUCCCAAAGCUAUGGACAACGUGACGGUCCGGCAGGGGGAGAGCGCCACCCUCAGGUAGGGAGCCUUCCUUCAUCUGGGGACAGAACCCAUUGCACAUGGCUUCAAGGGGAGGGGGUGAGGGAAAGAGAAAAGGAAGCUAGAAUGAGGGGCAUUUAAG